GUCCAUUGGGAUCCAUUGGGUUCCAUUGGGGUGCAUUGGGGUCCAUUGGGGCCCAUUGGGGUCCAUUGGGGUCCAUUGGAGUCCAUUGGGGUCCAUUGGGUUCCAUUGUGGUGCAUUGGGCUCCACAGAGGUCCAUUGUGGUCCAUUGGGGUCCAUUGUGGUGCAUUGGGAUCCAUUGGAGUCCAUUGGGGUCCAUUGGGGUCCAUUGGGUUCCAUUGGGUUCCAUUGGAGUCCAUUGAAGUCCAUUGGGUUCCAUUGGAGUCCAUUGGGGUCCAUUGGGAUCCAUUGUGGUGCAUUGGGUUCCAUUGGGCUCCAUUGAGGUCCUUUGGAGUCCAUUGUGGGGCAUUGGGCUCCACGGAGGUCCAUUGGAGUCCAUUGGGUUCCAUUGGGGUCCAUUGGGGUCCAUUGUGGGGCAUUGGGCUCCACGGAGGUCCAUUGGAGUCCAUUGGGUUCCAUUGGGGUCCAUUGGAGUCCAUUGGGUUCCAUUGGGGUCCAUUGGAGUCCAUUGGAGUCCAUUGGGGUCCAUUGUGGUGCAUUGGGGUCCAUUGGGGCCCAUUGGGAUCCAUUGGGGUCCAUUGGGGUCCAUUGGGUGCAUUGGGCUCCAUUGGGGUCCAUUGGAGUCCAUUGGGAUCUGUUGGGUUCCAUUGUGGUGCACCGUGGCUCAUUGUGGCUGUGUGUCUGUGUGUGUCCGUCUGUCUGUGUGUCUGUAUGUCCGUCUGUGUGUCCCUAUGUCCCUGUGUCCGUGUGUCCCUAUGUCCCUAUGUCCGUGUGUCCCUUUGUCCGUGUGUCCCUUUGUCCGUGUGUCCCUAUGUCCGUGUGUCCGUGUGUCCCUAUGUCCGUGUGUCCGUGUGUCCGUGUGUCUGUGU
ensembl:lncRNA